CGGGCAGAAUGUGACCCGGACAUCGUCGGCCACAUGAUUGGUGACUAUUUCAUUUCUGUCCAUGAAUUCUGCAUGGCUUUUGCCCACGUCGUUUUGGAAGAAACACCCCCUGAUGAGGAAGACAUGGGCAUUGACUUUGCUCCCCUCAUGUGCAAGGUCAAGCAGGCAAACCACAAGCAAUGCUUUGUUUGCGGUGAGAGGGGGGCUGCCAUCACAUGCGCAGAGAGCGGCUGUACACGCAGCUUCCAUCU